rnacentral:snRNA from 14 species
CAGAGAAGAUUAGCAUGACCCCUUCACAAGGAUAGUAGGCAAAUUUGGGUAGUAGUCUAUAUAUUU